UCUUAUGAAUGAAUGAAGAAAGUAGUUUCUUGACAUGGAAUCUACUCCUGAUAAAGAUACUGUGGA
rnacentral:pre_miRNA from 1 species